UAGGAGCAUUAUGGAGCCCAUCAACCUCUUCUGGGACAGUGCAGAUGGCUGCAUCUUCUUGCCAAGUAUCACAGCCAGAGAUAUCCCAAGAAAACCUGUCAGAAACCCACAACAAAACAGCUAGCAAACAGAGCCAGGAGAGGUGAUGUAGCAAGCAAGAGCUGAUGCAGGCAUUGUGUUUGGCAAGGAAGGAACGAGUUUCUGUUCCAGCAAGACUAUAUGAGAAAACUAGAGCAUCCUCCUGGCAGAUUGGAGAUGAAGGUGUGAACCAUCACAGACCAAAGAAGAAGAUGAAUGCAACCUUCCUCUGGCCGAAAUCUAUGUGAAGAGUACCCAUCCAGACCUGACUCAGAAGGACCAGACUUCACAGAGGAGGAAAUGAUCAGGGGCCAAGUGUGGCUCUGUAAAAGGCUCAUGUCACAAGCAUUGCUUUACAGUAGAUUUACAUAGGGCCGUGCUAACUUGUGGAAGGGGCUAUUUGCUUGCAAAAGCCUGACACAAAAUCCAGAAGGAACUUUCUGUAUGGAAAACCWGCUCUUUCCAUUUCAUGCAAAGACUUUCCUCUUUUUUUCCUUCCUAAUGACUAGAGAGAGAAAAUCAGAUAAGAUCUUGAUUUACUUUAUUCAUGAAAUCUGAACAUUUGGAACAGUUUUGAUUCAGUAUUCUAGCUAUUUUCAGAUUUUGUAUAUAUAUGUG
rnacentral:lncRNA from 1 species